rnacentral:lncRNA from 1 species
CUCGAGGCCCCGCCUGGGACCCGGGGCAUUUCCUUCCCUCUUCCGCGGCUCUGCCUUCGUGCAAACGACCCUGACCCGGGGACAGCCCGGAUUCUUCACGCAGCCUAAAGAGGCGGCCAAGCCUGUAAGUCUCACUUUGCAGAUGUAGAAGCAGAGGCUCAGCAGGGCAGAUCUCCUCCCGAAGUCCCGGGACCAUCAGAGAUGGUUCAUUUUGACCGAGGCCCGUCUGGUGGUUCGUUGCUGUGAUGUAUUUCGGCAUCAUCGACGCAGGUUCACCAGCCUCAUCUCGACCUUGGAAAUGUUGCGGUAUUUUACAGUGUGUGGUGACAUUUAUGGGCCCAUUUGGACACCCACAAAGAGGUUGAUUUCCAUAGAUUAAAUGUCAAGUUUGAAGCCAUCCAGGGUAAUUGAAUCCUUGAAUGUUGUCCACUUCGAUUCUCAGCUGGGGCCGUUGACUGGACAUUUGUGCUCUGUUACAAACUCUUGAGUGCAGCCCAAAUUGCUUAAUGCCAAAAGGUCACUCUGUGAGUCCAGGGGGAGGGUGUCGGUAGGGAGGACCAUGGCACUGGAGUUUGAUACCUGCAGAAAUGUUGCCUUGUUUUUAUUUCUUUAAAUGAAAGCACAUAUGUGGUUAGUUGGUGAAUACAUUACCGGGGACAGAAGAAAAAAAACCCCACCAACUAAGACUUCCUAGAUGUCAGUUAGUUUAAAAUAUCUAACCAUCUAUGUUUUGUCAAGAGCAAAAGGCUAAAAAGAACUUCACUGUAAUGUUUUAAGUAGGAAUAGUUUUAAACGGCAUUAAACACAUAUACAUAAACUUGGCAUGAGCGUCAUUUAAAUUGAAGGGUAGCAAAAAAGCAUCAAAUAAUUUCUGAGAUAUUGAAACGUAUUCACCUGCUGAUUGUCCAGAGAACAUGUGUGUCUUCAGACUUUGGAUCUGAGUGUCUUGAAUUUUUGUCCUCACAAGGAACUGGAGUUAAAUGGAUCCAAUACGGGUACACCCACACCCAUUUCCUCCACUGGUACGCUGUGGCCAGGAGGCGCGGGCCAGCCUCAGAGGCCUUCCUCACUGGGAUUUCUGGCUUUCUGCAGGUUCAGCUGUCCACACGGUGGCAUGGCUUUCUCAGCUCCA